UUGAUAAAGUGCUUCUAUAUGCAUUAUCUGUUUCAAUAUUUCAACAACCUUGAGUUAAGUAUUUCUUUCUACAUUUCAUAGAUAAGACUCAGAAUCAUAGAGAAAUAGAAAAAGAUACCUAAAAAAGGUUAAAGGAAAAAAGUGUAUGUAGUACCUUAAUCUUCACACAGUAGAAAAUAUAUAUAUUCAUGUACUUUCAAAAUAAGAGAAGGUAAAAAGCAUGACACGUAUAAUUAAAAAUGUAAAUUCACCUGAUUUUUAUUUUAAUGUCAUCAAAUUUUGUUCCUAAAAGAACCGUCGGGCAUAAAAUAUGAUUUAGCAAUGCUUUACACUGUUUCACUAAUAUUUCAAAUUAAUUGGACAGAAGCUGCUAAAUGGAUGAAAAACUAGCUCACUUGUAAUAAUAGGUGGAUGUAUAUUCAUAAUUAUAUAGCAGAUUUUCAUCAGAAUCAAAGUUAAGUCUGAUCUUUGUUAAUAUCUUCAUAAGUCAGGAAACUAAUAGAAUUAGUAGAUACUGCUCAGCUGGAAGAUGGUGCUAAAUCUAGCCACGUCCUAAGGAAAUACAGGUAGAUAGGAACUUAGUGUAGGGGAGCAGUCAAAUGAAAUUUGACUUAUAACUGAACAUGCAUUAGUGUAUUUGAAAACUCCCAGGAAAUGAAGCCCAAGCAAAUACUCCAUGGAGCAGCCUGCACAAGUUUCCAAAGGACCCUUUGUGGCACAUCCACACGCCUCAUGGAUACAACACAGUCAUAAAAAUUCACCAAGUGUACUGGAAGGAGAAAAGGACCCAAAUGACCAAACCAAGCAUAAUGGGCUGAACUCACUUUCUUACUUCAUAUUGCAAGGAAUUAUUCAAUUUACCUAUGUUUAGAGCACAGCCUUGCAGCAGUGUGACAACACUGAGGAUGAGGACGCCUGUGUGGAGCUCCAUGUUCUUUGCAUCUCACGAGGCCAAUCAAAUCUGGAUGCCAUCAUCUUGAGUAUUUGUCAAAACGUUCUACAUCUGAAGUCUGGGUGCCGCGGAAGGUGGAGUCCCAGAAGGCCCAACGGCGAGGCUGCCUAGAAACACGGGGACAGAGGGGACCGCUGCUCAGUCAAGAUUCCCAGCACAGCUAGAUUAGAGAGACGUCACGCUUUAACAAGCAGAAAUUUCAACAUCUCCACAAAUUAAGUCAAACUAAUAGACAUUUUUCUUUCACAAAAUAAUAAAAUAGAG
rnacentral:lncRNA from 1 species